rnacentral:rRNA from 1 species
AGGGAGUUUGAUCCUGGCUCAGGAUUAACGCUGGCGGCGUGCCUAAUACAUGCAAGUCGAAUGGUAGUAGCAAUACAAACCAUGGCGAACGGGUGAGUAACACGUAGGUAACUUAACUUUAAGACGAGGAUAACCGUUGGAAACGACGGAUAAUACUGGAUAGGACAUCACAAAGGGCAUCCUUAGAUGUUUAAAGAUUAUCAUGUCACUUAGAGAGAGGCCUGCGGCGCAUUAGUUAGUUGGUGAGGUAAAGGCCCACCAAGACGAUGAUGCGUAGCCGGACUGAGAGGUUGAACGGCCACAAUGGAACUGAGAACGGUCCAUACUCCUACGGGAGGCAGCAGUAGGGAAUUUUCGGCAAUGGGCGCAAGCCUGACCGAGCAACGCCGCGUGAACGAAGAAGUUAUUCGUAAUGUAAAGUUCUUUUAUCUGGGAAGAAAAAACAAAUUGACGGUACCAGAUGAAUAAGCUCCGGCUAACUACGUGCCAGCAGCCGCGGUAAUACGUAGGGAGCGAGCGUUAUCCGGAAUUAUUGGGCGUAAAGGGUGCGCAGAUGGCACAUUAAGUUUCUUGUAAAAAUGCUAGGCUCAACCUAGUAGGGCAAGAGAUACUGAUGAGCUAGAGUACGAGAGAGGCAAGUGGAAUUCCAUGUGUAGCGGUAAAAUGCGUAAAUAUAUGGCAGAACACCAGUGGCGAAGGCGGCUUGCUAGCUCGAUACUGACAUUGAGGCACGAAAGCGUGGGGAGCAAACAGGAUUAGAUACCCUGGUAGUCCCCU